GGCCCCUGGCGGUGCCCGGGCGGGCCCAGGCCCUGAGCUCCCGAGCGAGCCCUCCCUCCCUCCUGAGGGCUGGCGAGAAAAGGGCAUUCAGGAGGUCUUCUGGGACAGGUUUUCCCCUCACAGAUAAUGGUUCGUGCUGAGAAAUACACAGAUAGAAAAGACACUUGCUGCAGAGGCUGUGGCCCCAUCCUGGGGGCUUAAACUCAAAUAUGUGGCAAGAGGAGUGUCUGCCAAGGACUGGAAUCAGCUGAGAAGCCAAAGCAAGAUGAAAGCCGUAACCCUUUGAACUACCA